AUGUGGCGGUCAAGUGACUCCUCUGGGCAAGUCGUGCUAACUCAGCCUCCAGAGUCCCUGUCGGACCCUGUGGGAGGAAGAGUGUCUGUCACCUGCAAAGCCAGUGCCCGUAUUAGCAAUUGCCUGAACCGGUACCACCAGAAACCUGGACAAACUCCCAAGCUCGUGGUCUACUAUGCCAGCAUCCUCCAGGCCGGGGUCCCUGCCCGGUUCAUUGGCAGUGGUUCAGGCACGGAUGUCACCUUCACCGUCAGCAAUGUUGAAGCCGACGAUGCUGCAGAUAACUACUGUCAGCAGUGUUACCAAUGGCCUCAUACAGGUGGUUGGAACAUCCCCAGGGUGACUGAGAUGAUGAUGAGGCCGUGGUGCGUUGAUCUGCGCCUGUGUCAGUCCCAACUGAUGUACCUGCGGGUUCCAGGACGUGUAGGAUACUCCGAUGCUGGCCAGCAGUAG